rnacentral:rRNA from 1 species
UGCAAGUCGAACGGGCCGCAAGGCCCGUGGCGCAAGGGUGAGUAAGGCGACGGUAACCUACCCCACGAAUGGGCAUAGCCGCGGGAAACUGCGGGUAAUUCCCAGCGACGUCCGGCGGGGGCAUCCCCGCUGGACCAAAGCUCCGGCGUCGUGGGACGGGCCGUCGUGGUAUUAGGUGGUUGGCGGGGUAACGGCCCACCAAGCCGGCGAUGCCUACCGGGCGUGCGAGCGUGGCCCGGCACACUGGGACUGAGACACUGCCCAGACUCCUACGGGAGGCUGCAGUCGAGAAUCUUCGGCAAUGGGCGCAAGCCUGACCGAGCGACGCCGCGUGGAGGACGAAGGCCUUCGGGUUGUAAACUCCUGUCGAGGGGGAAGAAGGCCCCAUUGGGGCGUGACUGAUCCCUGGAGGAAGCACGGGCUAAGUUCGUGCCAGCAGCCGCGGUAAGACGAACCGUGCAAACGUUAUUCGGAAUCACUGGGCUUAAAGCGCGUGUAGGCGGGCGGGCACGUCCGACGCUGAAAUCCCCCGGCUCAACCGGGGAACCGGCGGGGAUACGACCGGCCUGGAGGGACGUAGGGGGACCUGGAACUUCCGGUGGAGCGGUGAAAUGCGUUGAGAUCGGAAGGAACGCCCGUGGCUAAAGCGAGGUCCUGGACGUCUGCUGACGCUGAGACGCGAAAGCCAGGGGAGCGAACGGGAUUAGAUACCCCGGUAGUCCUGGCCCGU